AUGGCGGCUUCCUCUUGCUUCCCGUUAGCUGCUCGCUGCAGCCUCUUGCUCACGGCAGCGCUAGUCCUAGCGCUAAGCCAUGGAGCCCACGGUUAUGGCGAUGCCGGUGCCGGGUUGAGCUCGUCCUUCUACGACGACUCGUGCCCCGGUGCGCGCGACAUUGUUCGGCGCGUCAUCCAGAACGCCCGCACCGUCGACGCGUGCAUCCCAGCCAGCCUCAUCCGCCUUCACUUCCAUGAUUGCUUUGUUCAGGGUUGUGACGGCUCGCUUUUGCUGGACAACGACCUCCCAGCGAUCAUGACUGAGAAGGAGGUCCCUGCCAACGACAGGUCAGCACGCGGGUUCAAGGUGGUCGACAGCAUCAAGCGUGCACUGGAGAACGCAUGCCCUGGCAUCGUGUCCUGCGCCGACAUCCUCGCCCUCGCCUCCGAGAUCUCCGUCGAGCUGGCUGGAGGGCCACGCUGGAGUGUGCCGCUUGGCCGCCGUGAUGGCACGACCACCAACAUCGAGAGCGCCAACAAUCUACCGAGCCCCUUCGACUCUCUAGAGACGCUCCAGGAGAAGUUCAGAAACUUGGGCCUCAACGACAUUGACCUUGUCGCCCUCCAAGGAGCACACACCUUUGGGCGGGCGCAAUGCCAGUUCACGCAGCGGAACUGCAGCGCCGGGCAGGACGAGGAGACGCUGGUGAACCUUGACAGAGUCACCCCUGACGUCUUUGACAACAAGUACUAUGGCAACCUCUUGCGUGGCCAUGCCCCUCUCCCUUCGGACCAGGUAAUGUUGUCUGAUCCCGUUGCCGCCACGACUACCGCGCCGAUCGUUCGUAGGUUCUCCGGAAGCCAGAUGGAUUUCUUCAAGAAUUUCGCGGCCUCCAUGGUCAAAAUGGGGAACAUAAACCCGCUGACCGGAAGGGAUGGGGAGAUUAGGAACAACUGCCGGAGGGUGAACAGAAAACCCUAUUGA
rnacentral:rRNA from 1 species